rnacentral:rRNA from 1 species
UACGGAGGGUGCAAGCGUUAUCCGGAUUCACUGGGUUUAAAGGGUGCGUAGGUGGUUUUGUAAGUCAGUGGUGGAAGCCCGGAGCUUAACUCCGGAACUGCCAUUGAUACUGCUUAACUUGAAUCAACUUGAGGUGGAUGGAAUAUUACAUGUAGCGGUGAAAUGCUUAGAUAUGUAAUAGAACACUGAUUGCGAAGGCAGUUCACUAAGGUUGUAUUGACACUGAGGCACGAAAGCGUGGGGAUCAAACAGG